rnacentral:rRNA from 1 species
GACGAACGCUGGCGGCGUGCUUAACACAUGCAAGUCGAACGGAAAGGCCCUGCUUUUGUGGGGUGCUCGUGUGGCGAACGGGUGAGUAAAACGUGAGUAACAUGCACUUGACUUUGGGAUAACUUCAGGGAAAUGGGGCUCAUACAGGAUAGGAGAUCUUGAUGCGUGGUGGGGGUUGGAGAGAUUCGGCGGUUGUGGAUGGACUCGCGGCUUAUCAGCUUGAUAGUGAGGUAGUGAAUUACCAAGGUUUUGAAGGGUAGGCCGCAUGAGAGCGUGAACGGCCACAUUGCUACUGCGAUACGGCCCAGACUCCUACCUGAGGCAGCAGUCGGGAAUAUUGCACAAUAAGCCCAAGCCUGAUACAGCAACCCCGCGUUCGUAAUAACCUCCUUCUAGUUAUAAACCGCUUUCUCCUGUGACGAAGCCUGAGUGACGGUAAUGAGUAAAAAAGCACCGGCUAACUACGUG